UGGGGAAUAUUGCACAAUGGGCGCAAGCCUGAUGCAGCCAUGCCGCGUGUGUGAAGAAGGCCUUCGGGUUGUAAAGCACUUUCAGCGAGGAGGAAGGUGGUGGACUUAAUACGUUCAUCAAUUGACGUUACUCGCAGAAGAAGCACCGGCUAACUCCGUGCCAGCAGCCGCGGUAAUACGGAGGGUGCAAGCGUUAAUCGGAAUUACUGGGCGUAAAGCGCACGCAGGCGGUUUGUUAAGUCAGAUGUGAAAUCCCCGGGCUCAACCUGGGAACUGCAUUUGAAACUGGCAAGCUAGAGUCUCGUAGAGGGGGGUAGAAUUCCAGGUGUAGCGGUGAAAUGCGUAGAGAUCUGGAGGAAUACCGGUGGCGAAGGCGGCCCCCCUGGACGAAGACUGACGCUCAGGUGCGAAAAGCGUGGGGCAGCAAACAGGAUUAGAUACCCUGGUAGUCCACGCUGUAAAACGAUGUCGAUUUGGAGGUUGUGCCCCUUGAGGCGUGGNUUCCGGAGCUAACG
rnacentral:rRNA from 1 species